AAUCUACCCUGAUGUCUGGGAUAACCAGCCGAAAGGCUGACUAAUACCGGCUAUAUGCUACCCUGUUGGGGGUAUCAGGAAAGGUGGCCUCUUCUUGAAAGCUAUCGCAUUGGGAUGAGUUUGCGUACCAUUAGCUAGUUGGUGGGGUAAUGGCCUACCAAGGCAUCGAUGGUUAGCGGGUCUGAGAGGAUGAUCCGUCACAUUGGCACUGGAACACGGGCCAG
rnacentral:rRNA from 1 species